AUGCCAUACCUCGGGUUUGAAGUUAUUCCCGAGCGGCAACGUCCUCUUGCGUCCGAGCUCCAACGCCGGACCGCAUUCGAGGUAUCUUUAGCAGCCGAGCACCAACGCCGAACCGCUCCCGAGCUCCAACGCCGGAAUGUAUCCGAGCUUCAAUGGCGGACUAUGUCCAAGCUCCAACGCCGGACUGUAUCCGAGCUCCAACCCCGGACUAUGUCCAAGCUCCAACGCCGGACUAUAUCCGAGGUGGUGCAUCACCUCGGCCAUGGGCUGAUUUUUAUGAAUUUAAUUCCGAAUCAUGCAAUGUAA
rnacentral:rRNA from 1 species